rnacentral:rRNA from 1 species
GACUCCGACCAUCACUCCGAGAGAAGUUAUCACUCUGACUCCGAAUAUACUCAAGAUGAAGGUGUUGUCGGUCUAGCACUUGUGUCAACCAACUCCUAUGACAUAUUUGACUCACCAAAUGAAGGAAUUGGAAGAUGCUUCAUGGCUAAAGGCCCAAAGGUAUCACACCCCGAGUAUGUUGAUUUCAAUAGUGAUGAAGAUGACUUGUUAGGUGAUGAUGAUUUACUUGUUGACAACUCUAGUGAUGAAUACUAUGAUGAGACGUCAAUUAAUCAUGUUAAUCAAGAUAAAACGAAUAACAAUUAUAAGGAGAAGAUUGAGCGUCUAACUAAAGAACAAAAC